rnacentral:rRNA from 1 species
UCCCGUUCAUCCUGCGGGAGAUUGCUGCUAUUGGAGUUCGACUAAGCCAUGCAUGUCAAGGGGGUACUUCGGUACCACCGGCAAAAUGCUCAGUAACACGUCAUUAAUCUGCCCUUAGGUCUGGGAUAGUCUUGGGAAACUGAGUUUAAACCCAGAUAGGAGAUAUGUUCUGGAAAUGAUGUAUCUCCCAAAAGCAAUGCCUUUGGAUGAGAUGGCGGCGGAUUAGGUUGUUGGUGGGGUAAAGGCCCACCAAGCCGAAGAUCCGUAAGGGCCUUGAGAGAGGUAGCCCUGAGAAGGACACUGAGAUACUGGUCCUAGCCCUACGGGGUGCAGCAGGCGCGAAACCUUUACAAUGCACGAAAGUGUGAUAAGGGGACUCCAAGUGCUCAUGCUAUGCAUGGGCUUUUUGCCAAGAGUAAAUAUCUUGGCGAAUAAGUGAUGGGUAAGACCGGUGCCAGCAGCCGCGGUAACACCGGCGUCACAAGUGGGAAUCGUGUUUAUUGGGCCUAAAGCGUUCGUAGCCUGUUUGGUAAAUCUUUUGUGAAAUCCUUGUGCUCAACAUAACGGCGUGCAGAAGACACUACCAGACUAGGGACCAGGAGGAGUCAGAGGUAUUGUCGGGGGAGCGGUAAAAUGCUAUAAUCCCGAUAAGACCACCUGUGGCGAAGGCGUCUGACCAGAAUGGAUCCGACGGUGAGGGACGAAGGCCAGGGGAGCGAACCGGAUUAGAUACCCGAGUAGUCCUGGCAGUAAACGCUGCGAGCUAGGUGUUGCGCAUUCUACUUGGAUGCGCAGUAUCGAAGCGAAGGCGAUAAGCUCGCCGCCUGGGAAGUACGGUCGCAAGACUGAAACUUAAAGGAAUUGGCGGGGGAGCACUACAAGGGGUGCGGCGUGCGGUUUAAUCUAACUCCACACAGAGAAUCUCACCAGGAGCGACGGCAGGAUGAAAGUCAGAUUAAAGGUUUUACUUGACGAGCCGAGAGGUGCUGCAUGGCCGCCGUCAGCUCGUGCCGUAAGGUGUCCAGCUAAGUCUGGUAACGAGCGAGACCUAUGUCUACAGUUGCCAACAGGUCCUUCAGGAUGAUUGGGCACACUGUAGAGACUGCCUUGGAAACGAGGAGGAAGGUGUAGGCUACGGUAGUUCUGUAUGGCCCGAAUCUUCUGGGCUACACGCGCGCAACAAUGGUAGGGACAAUGGGAUGCAACUCCGAAAGGAGAAGCUAAACCUCUAAACCCUAUCUUAGUUCAGAUCGAGGACUGGAACUCGUCCUCGUGACGUUGGAAUCCCUAGUAAUUGGGUGUUAUCAGCGCCCAGUGAAUAUGUCCCUGCUCCUUGCACACACCGCCCGUCAAACCACUCGAGCAGGGUUUAGGUGAGUCCCGAUUUUUUGAUCAGGCCGAACCUAAUCUCAGUGAGAUGGGUUAAGUCGUCACAAGGUA